rnacentral:misc_RNA from 1 species
GACCUUGUGGAGUAUGCGAUGAAGAGCUGGGUCAUGAAGCUUUGAUUGAGGGCUGCAAAGCCAUCGAUAAAGAUGUUGUAAUAAUGCAUCAGCAAAGACAUUUCCAGAAGAAACUGCAUCUGCAAGGCAUCUCUGAAUCAGCUGUUUCAGGGCACGUAAUGCAGGUGCAGAUGAUGUAACCUCAUCAAAGCCAUAUUGUUCAUCAUAAAUAUGUGAACUAGAAUUCAUGUCCUGCUCAAAUCCUAACAAAGCACCUCCUUCCAUUUCAUUCACUUGGUUGCUUUUCAGCAGAGCAUUUACAGCAAGGUGAUGAAUCUUUAACUCCACAGAAACUUUUCUAUAAGCUCCAGGGUAUGUAAGAAGAGGUUGAUGGACCUCAUCUACAAAACAUGCAGAUUCAUCAAUAAUGCCUCCUAGAUCAGGAACACCAUCAUCAGAUAUCCAAAGUAACUGUUGCUGAUCAUGCAAUGCUCUCGAGAAGAAGACAUCUGCUGUAAAAAUAAGCCAGUCAAGUUCAAAAUUUCCCAAAGGUACAUGGGCAUAUCUUGAGAGAGAAAUCCUUUCAUUCAACCACUGAGAUGAUGCAGCAGAACGUUGCAUUCCAAUUUUUGCAGCUGCUUGUUGCCACCCAAGAACCUGAUAUUGACUGUCACGAACAUUGGAUGGUAUGCUCACACAAGGGAAAUUAUCAAGAGCGGGUAUGCCUGACUUCAUCAAAUGAGAAUUUGGGCAUUCAAUGACAGCAAUUGUAGGCCCACGAUUUUUUUCUCUGAGUUCGCUUAUUCUUCCAUGUAAAGUCCUCUCAGCAUCCUUGACAUGUCCAACAUAAUCUACCUUGAAAACAAUACCAUUUGUGGGAGGAGGUGGUUCAAUGGACAAUGCAUUGCAGGCUUCACGAAACUGCCUUUCAAGAAAAGAUGGUGACAAAUCCUUGUUUUGAUAAGGACUGACCACCACAACAGAUAUAGUCCUUAAUACAGGCAAAUACACAACAAAUAUGGCACGUCCUUCAGAGAUGCUAUGAUAUAGGUAAAAGAAGGAGACUGAUUGCUCCAAAUAAGUACAUUCUGUUGUUGUCUUCAUGUGCAGUUCACUCAGACUCCAGCCAUCCUGGGAGCUCCGUUUUGUAGCUGUUUUAUCCACUUUACAGACACAACCAAUCUGGAGUAUGGCGCUAAACUCUGAUGGAACCUUCGUUUCAUAUAUACCCUCAACUUCUGGAUCUGAAAGAAGAGCUGCAAGUUUUUUGCUUUCUUUUCUGAAUUUAUCUUCAUCUAUAGAAACCUCAACCAAGUUAUAGCUAGGCCUUCCAUGAGGAAGAGUCUUGUUCACACGCCUACCAGGAAAUCUUUCUGUCAUAGGUGCUUUAGAGUUGAGGUAAAAUACUCUGGGAACUGUUAUAGGGAUCUUAAGCAUGAUUCCUUCAACAACAACCCAUGCAAAAAAUUGUCCAUAAUGUGAACUUGGAAGCAGCUGAAUUAUCUGCCAGUGGCAUCGUGUUAGGGAAAUUUCAUGUGUUGUAAAAUAUGAACCAACACCUGUCCUGUGCUGAGCUUUUUUAUGAUUUAUUGGGCUGCCUAAAGGCUCAGAAGCACCAUUAGCAUGAUUUGAAUUCCUCAAACUGCCCAACCUUUGCCUCUUCCUUCUGUCCAGAUUAUCUUUCCACUUUCUUUUCUUUAAUUCAAGCCACCCCUGAUAAUCUACAUUUCUGUCAAUAUUUUCAGUGGAGGAUGCAUUUCGUUGCAACAGUUGCAUGCUUUCACCAUUAUCAAUUUGCUGUUGUGAGGAAUCCAUUCUACCAGUUGCCUUUUGUGAACAUUUUUCAUUGUUGAUUGCAUAAAGACGAACAAUUGGUCUAGGCCUAUUUUUAGAACUGCUUUUAUUUAGGAAGUCUUCCAAAUCCCCAACAUUCUCCUCAUUCAUCAUAUGAUCAGUAGUAACAGAAUCGCUAGUCCUCCUUAACGACUCAUCUCGGUUGGAUAAGCUGAAGAUAUCAACCAAUUUUCUUUGACGGUAUUUAUCCUCCUUUUCACGAACCUUUUUAUGCAGCCAAUCAGGAUGAAGAACCCUAGGGACAGGGUUUGCAACCUUCUGCAUUGCAGCAGGAAUUGUAAUAAUCUUCUGAAUAGCUGAACUUAGCCGUUGCUUGUAAUAGGACCAAUCAAUGAUGGAUCUAAUACCUACAUCUGAUGAAGUCUUGCACCAUUUCCGUAAAUAGAACUUCAUUAUUUCAGCAUCAGUUUCAAAUAUUGCAACAGGAACAGCACGCUCACUCACAGGUGUUCCACUUGGUUCACAUGCAACUAUAUAUUGACAACGCAACCCUUUAUCUUUAAC